rnacentral:rRNA from 1 species
UACGAAGGGUGCAAGCGUUACUCGGAAUUACUGGGCGUAAAGUGUGCGCAGGCGGCUUCGCAAGUCGAGUGUGAAAUCCCCGAGCUUAACUUGGGAAUUGCGCUCGAAACUACGGAGCUGGAGUGUGGCAGAGGAAGGUGGAAUUCCACGUGUAGCGGUGAAAUGCGUAGAGAUGUGGAGGAACACCGAUGGCGAAGGCAGCCUUCUGGGCCAACACUGACGCUCAUGCACGAAAGCGUGGGGAGCAAACAGG